UUAGAGUGUUUAAAGCAGGCAUACGCUUGAAUACAUUAGCAUGGAAUAAUGAAAUAGGACGUUCGAUCCUAUUUUGUUAGGUUUCUAGGAUUGACGGUAAUGAUUAAUAGGGAUAUUGGGGGCAUUAGGUAUUCAAUUGUCAGAGGUGAAAUUCUUGGAUUUAUUGAAGACUGACUACUGCAAAGCAUUUGCCAAGGAUGUUUUCAUUAAUCAAGAACGAAAGUUAGGGGAUCGAAGACGAUCAGAUACCGUCGUAGUCUUAACCAUAAACUAUGCCGACUAGGGAUCGGAUGAUGUUAAUUUUUUAAUGACUCAUUCGGCGCCUUACG
rnacentral:rRNA from 1 species